GUGUCAGCCGCCGCGGUAAUACGUAGGGGCCGAGCGUUGUCCGGAGUUACUGGGCGUAAAGCGCGCGCAGGCGGUUCGUUAGGCCCGGCGUGAAAGCCCCCGGCUCAACCGGGGAGGGUCGUCGGGGACCGGCGGACUUGAGGGCGGCAGGGGCCGGUGGAAUCCCCGGUGUAGUGGUGAAAUGCGUAGAGAUCGGGGGGAACACCCGUGGCGAAGGCGGCCGGCUGGGCCGACCCUGACGCUGAGGCGCGAAGGCGUGGGGAGCGAACGGGAUUAGAAACCCUGGUAGUCC
rnacentral:rRNA from 1 species